UGGUUCUCGCAUCGAUGAAGAACGCAGCGAAACGCGAUAGGUAAUGUGAAUUGCAGAAUUCCGUGAAUCAUCGAAUCUUUGAACGCACAUUGCGCCUUCUGGUAUUCCGGGAGGCAUGCCUGUUUGAGCGUCAGCAAAACCCUUCUACAAAAUUUUAUUUCUGUAGGCUUUGGGCUUUUUUGGAGGAUGGGUUUUCUAACCCGCUCCGGCCUUAAUGUUGCUGCACGACCGCAAGCUAUUCUUGUUAGGUUAAUAGAGUGGUAAUACAAUUUCUAUACUCUUAACUAAAUAGCCGGUGGCGUUAAACUUGUUGCCUCACCGCAACUGACGUUUGACCUCAAAUCAGACAAGGAUACCCGCUGA
rnacentral:misc_RNA from 1 species